UACGGGGGGGGCAAGCGUUGUUCGGAAUUACUGGGCGUAAGGGCUCGUAGGCGGCCAACUAAGUCAGACGUGAAAUCUCUCGGCUUAACCGGGGAACUGCGUCUGAUACUGGAUGGCUUGAGGUUGGGAGAGGGAUGCGGAAUUCCAGGUGUAGCGGUGAAAUGCGUAGAUAUCUGGAGGAACACCGGUGGCGAAGGCGGCAUCCUGGACCAAUUCUGACGCUGAGGAGCGAAAGCCAGGGGAGCAAACGGG
rnacentral:rRNA from 1 species